CGUCGCAGAGGGUGUCACUCAAAAUGGUCAAAAGCUGACUGUCGUCAUCCAAUUCGCCGCUCGUCAGCGGCCACAACGGUAGCAGCUGCGGCUCGGUUCAGCUGAUCGUCGUCAGCCGCUGCACGCGCCGCUGCUGGCGUCCGCUCUCUUUGGCUGUGGUCGCGCUACCACAGCAGCCGAUGCUCGGUCAGCGGCUGCUACAAACAGCUGAGAGCUGAAACUACUGGUAGCAACGGACCGGAAGUUCACUAAAAGCUAGCAAUGUCGACGGAACGACGGGCAUACAAAGAUAAACGCAGCGCACCAUAGAGUACAGUACCCAUUGCGGUUCCUUCUAGUCGAGCGCGGCAGGGUAGUACUGCAUGGCGCAGAUUAAGUCGCUUGCUAGAUCAUAAGGAUACGAAAGAGACCUACAGAAGAAACACUUCCAGGAAAAGUGAUGAGACGCGAAUGAAGAAGCGGAGCAAGCAGUUUUGUGACUGAAGCGAACUCCGUAAGUGGCUUAUUACAAGCCAUCUGCUCAUCGUUUGCAAAUGUAAUGGUUACAGAGGAGUCGAUCGAUAAUGGCACACAUACAUAUAUACGAUACGCGUCUAUGAGACGAAAAAGUUCACCGUACACUAUCACAGUGGAAGGGAAACCUGUAACGUGGCAAUCGUUCUUUGCCAGAGUUUUCUAGUGCCUUUAUGGUCGCUAGUUACGUGGCCGUAGCAACGAUUCGCUGCUGCUGGAGAUGGGCCUUUCAUGUUUGAUAAUUUGCAGAAGGAGCUGAUACUAGCCAAUGGUUCAGGCAAUACAAUGAAUGGCAAGUUGACAAGGUACUAAUUAACAUUCGCUGCGAGAUGGGAUACAACUGCCACUGCUGCUGCUGAUACUAUGCUACGCCGUAGUCACGGGGUCGUCCAGGAUUCGUCCAAAUUACUGUUGCGGUAGG
rnacentral:lncRNA from 1 species